CCCAGGGCUGUGAUCCCAGCACUGCAGGGCUGCUGCAUCUUCACUUGGAAAAGUCAUCAGCUGAAAACAUGCAGCUUCAAGCAGGAGAUUCCCAAAGCUGCAGGGAUGAAGGGGAAUCUCCUCCCUGCUGCUUGUGCUCUGGAGGAGGCAUUUCCCAAUGCACUGCUCGUUUCAGGAUUAGAAAUGCUGGUUAGGCAGAAAGGAAGGAAGGAAGCAGCCAAAACCAAGCGAGAUUUGUAUUAACAAUCAUGCAUCUCCGUUCUACCUGCACUCCUGUGCUUCGCCACCAUUUCUUUGUCCGUUUGACCUCCUAUCUUGAUCCAUUCAAUUCCUUAGACAGAAGAGAUGAGGCCAUAGAUCUUUUCACUGUUCCCCCAUAGAGAAACCUUUCCUAUCAGCUGUGCAAAAAGGGCCUGUGAAUUCAUUUGAGCCACGUGCAACCCCAGCACUUACUGCAGAAAUGGAGAACAGGGGCAAGAAAACAAAGAUUCCAUAUCCUCCAUGUCAUGCUUUACCCAGGCACAGAUAUAGUGCAUCCCUGCUGCUCCUCAGGGUGGGGAGGGGGGGCUCAUCCCAUAGGGGGCAAGGAGCAUGGCCAGAGAAUGGUGGUGUUGGCAUGACCUGAGGAAGGGUUAACCACCAAAGAACAGAACUUUGGACUCGUUUCAUAGAACGGAGCUGCAGAGUUAUUGGAAACAAAAGCUGCUUUCCAACAGCUUCCUAAAAAGCUUCAGGAAUGUUGGGGAAAAAGCCUCAGCAACGCCCGAGCACUGCAGGUGAUAUCAUUCCAACGGAUUGCCUCAGAAAUGCUCUCUGCAUGGCUCCAAGGGGAAAAAAGAAAGAAAGAAAGGAAGGAGAAGAACAGCACUAACCGAUGUACAGAGCUGGCCCAGCACUCAAACAAGGGUGCAGCAAGAAGCAAACAGGGAAUGGAAAAGCACUGGAAACCAUCUGUAGUGGAAUUCCAGGGUCACAGCCUGAACCAAUGGGUGGGCUCUGUGAGUGUGUGAGUGCGGCGGCGCGGCGGUACGAACGGGGGAGGGACACAUUCCUCAGCUCGGCUCGGUCUGCGCGCUGCUACCGGGAGGGGUGAGUCGAUUCUUUUUGAUGUCUUUCCCUCGUGUGCCUAUUUCUUAAAUAAAGGCUUUGUCAUUACCUUCAUUUGCUCUACCCCAUCUCAUGGUGGCACCCAGAUCGGUGCGAGGCGGCUUCGUGGGGCUGGGGGUGCAGGAGGGGACAUUGAGUGGAUCCAGGGGGCGAGGGGGGCUGCCCAGGGGCUGUAGGGCAGGAGAGGCACUGUGGUGCUGGGAGAAGCGGAGGGGUUUGCUUUAUCUUUCCAGCAGUGAUCAAAGGUUAUGGACAGGCAGGGUGCCGGGAAGGGAUGUGACCCACCUGCAGGAUUCGCGCUCUUGCAGCUGAGAAUUCAGUUCUGUCAUCCUGACAAGCAGAAUGCUCAAAUGGAAUGGGAACGGUCGCUGCGAAAAUAAACCCCCCCUGCGGCACGAAUGAACUCGUUCCCAUCAAAAUCAAACACAAAACCAAGCAGAAAUCAAAGCACAAAGCUGGGCUCGCAGGGCACAAAGCAGCACAGCCUUAAGCAGCGUCUUUAAUACUCUGUUUUGUUGUAGGAGCUCUGAGUGUGAGCCUGGUGUUUGGGAUGGGUUGGGAGCAAUGCCGUGUGCUCAUAGGAUCAGAGAAGUUGGAAAAGCCCUCACAGACCCUCAGCCCACUCCACCGUGCCCACCCCACACCCCCCAGUGCCACAUCCCCACGGUUCUGGAGCACCUCCAGGUGCCCCCCCUCCCUGGGCAGGCUGUGUUGGUGCGUCACUGCUCUUUUAGAGAAGGAAUUAUUUCUAAUAUCCACUCAUCCUGUGGGAUUUGCUAUUCUCUCUCACCCACAUCAGUGUCCUCCUCUCAACCUGUGUCACCCCCAGAGAACAGCAGGUGGAGGCUGAUGUCAACAUCACUGCAUCACACCCAGGUAACCCCAGUAACACCAACACAAACACACACGGGGAUGGCCCGGUCGGGCAGGCUGCUGUGCUGCUCCAGCUACAUUGCAACGCUCACAAGAAACUCACAUUCACAGCCAGCGUGUGAGAGCUCACGCAUUGCGAGCCCACGCUCCCCUAUAAUGCACUCCAGCUGUGGCCAUGUGUUUGAGGAAGCGUCUGGGACUCCUCUGCCACACGGGGCAUCAGUUUUUCCAGCCGGCUGAAAGUGCUGAGGCAGUUCAUACUGCCAUGAUUCAGGCGACGGCGCUUGUGAAACCUCCCUGGGAUGGUGCCCAGCAAAGCAAACCCUGCUCUGACGUGGUGUGAGCACAGCGUUAUCUAUAAAAGCCAGGGAGUGAGCCAGGGGAACCGCACACUGCUGCGGAGCACACACGGCACGCGGUGAUGGGGAAAGCCAGCCCUGGCUGCUGCUUUUUUCAGCAAAUGUAAGUAUUUUGGCUUUUAGACAGGGUGGAAGCUCCGGGGAGCCCACGGCAGGCAGGGCGGUCUGUGGUGCUUUGGGUGUUCUCCUCCCCUGUGUGUUCUCAGGCACAAUUCCAAGAGGGAUUUUGGAAGGAAGGCUUUGCCUGAGAGCAGUGGAUAUUUUUUACGCACCUCAUAGGUUACAGCGACAGCAAGGACAGAGCAAGGACUGUGGGAGUCACUGCUCACUGGAAUUUGUGAAGUGUCCCAGGAGGGCAAUUUUGGUACAGAUAAAAACCAGCGCGGAUGGAAACGUGGCAUGAGCCUGAGCUGAGGCUUCAUCUGAAACAGUGCAAACAGACCUGCCCAAAUGGCACUGUUCCCAGGCAGCACCGCGGCAGUGGGUGACAUGGGACAGAACCAUGAGAGGCUGUUGGAGAGCCCUGAACUCAGAGCUGGCACAGUUUGGGCUGCCCUGUGCCAGGAGCACUGCCCAGCUCCGUUCCAUUUACUGGAGCAGUACAUCCUGGCAGCACUGGGAGCUCUCCCAGUCCCAGGCCUGGCUGAUUUCUGCCCAUUUCCUCAGCUGGGAGAGAAGCAUUCCCACCCCAGACCAACGCACAGCCAGCUGCUGGGAGAUAAACAUCCCAAUGCCCACGGCAAGGGAGGAAAUGGAACCUCAUUCUGCUGCAUUCUGGGUGGGAGCUGUAAGCACCAAAUCACAGCGUGUGAGGGGCAGACGGAGGCAACCACAAUGAUCCCAUCUCCUGGGACAGGAGGGACACCUCGGGCACAUCUUGGAUGGACAGUAGGAAGGCAUCAUCCUUUGGGAGACUGCAACUCCUUCCCAAAGCCCAUGGUGACCUUAAUGGAAUGCAGCAUUAUGUAAAGCUUUCAGGAAGGGAAGAUGUGAAAAACAAGCUGAGUUCCUGAGCAUCUGGUCUGGCCGCUUCUGAGCACGGCCCCUGGCUACACCGGCCGCUCAGCAUCCCUGGGCAACACCCAUCACUGGGAGGGGCUUUGGCUCAUCACCAGAUCCCAGGGUGAAGGACAGGACCACUGCCCAGGAGCUCUGUGCUGAAAUGCUUCACAUGGCCGUGAUGAAGUUCUGCUGCAAAUCCACUCAGCGGUGUCACUUUCCUUCCAAACCUACAUGGCAAAAAUAAAAGAUGGAGGAAAUACCUGGAUGGACAGACAGAUCCAAGAAGCCUGGCUUUAUGGCAAGCCUUCCUUCCGGUUCAGUUUAUUUUCCAGUUAAUGUUUACCUGCACAUUCUCCAGAGGAGAUGUAGAACCCCAUGUCAAGGAGCUGCACACUUCCCUCGCCCAUUGAACCGCCCAAACCAGUUCUGAUUUGUUUGCUGCCCUCCUGGGAAUCACAGCCUUGAAUUCAGCUGGAGCCCUCUGGCCAAACGCAUUGAUCUCCUGCAUGCAGCAGCCAGGUUACAGGGACAUCUCAUCAUGCAGCAAUUCAUGGUAGAGAUCCACUGUUGAAAAAAACAUCCAUAAAGGUACCUGAUGACCUUAGAGGCCUUUUCCAACCUUAAUGAUUCCAUGAUCCCAAACAGGGAGGAACUUCCUUGAGAAACAGAACACAUCAGAGCUCAGCUAUAUGUAGCACAGCUUGGCUUUCCUCCACCACCAGCUAGAAGGACAAGCUUCCACACUGCGGGCUGGGAGGGUUUGUUCCAACAGCAGAUCCUCAUUCCAGCAAUGCUUUUUAUCAAAGCAAGUGGUCAAACCAACACUCAGCGACCAACCCUCCUCUUCACCUCCACUUCCAGCUGCAGUGAAGCAAUGCCACAUCUUGAAGGUGAGUGGACUGUAAAGGGCUGAGCUGACAAAAACCCUCGUCUUAAUGGAGAGAGCACUGAGCUACAGAGAAAUGCUGCUUUUGACAGAAAACACAGAUUUUUUCUCUAAUUAAUCACUGUGGAAAAUGAGGGUAAGAUGAACCACGUCCCAGUUCAGCUGCAGUACAGCAGUGAGUUUUUCCUACCUCUUCAGCAAAGGAUUCCCCCAGGUUGGCUCAGGUACAUAGAAGAAGAGAAAAGGUGCCCAUGAAUCCUGGAUGAGUCAACCUGGAUGAGUAACGGAGCCUCACCAAGCAACGGGAAUCCCACCCUUAAAACACUGGCUCAUGCAGUGCCUUUCUCAGGAAUUACACCAAAUUGUCACUUUGGCAUCGUCUCACGAAUACAAAAAUCAGGCAGGAACCAUGGCAGCCUCCCAGUCCUGUUGGGUAACUACAGGAAAAGCCUUGCAUGCAGUACAAGCCCCAAGGUGCUCCUGCCAGGGGGAACAACAAUGCCGUUUCCUUCAUCUGUGAUCUUAAUUGACAUCAGGGCAAUUUAACAAAUGAGCAUCUCUUCUAAUCCAGGCUGUGCUAUGCUGACUCCUUCCGCUCUGAUUCAUGUUUUAGCUUUCUUUCAUCAUCUUCAACCCACAUCAAACACUGCCAGCAGUCGAUACCUUUCUCAAACUGCUGGCCCUACAGAUGGUCACAGCAUUCUCACUCGUGUCACAGAAGGCUUCAUCAGCUAAUUCAAUAAGUGCGAGCCCUGUUCCUUAUUCUGCAGGUCCUCCUGAUACAUCAUUCCUAUAAUUUCAGAUAAUUAGCCUCUCAUUUUUUCCAUCCCUCUAGGCAUGACUUAAUUGUAGCUUCUCCUAAUCUGCAUUGCCUAGCUUACUCCUUUGUAAGAAUGCCUUAUAAACACAGUAUCAAAAGUCUCAAUGAAAUCCAAAAUAUACUUAUCUUUAAUUUUAUAUACAUACAUACACACACACGCUCUGUCCCCAGGGUCUAUCACCC
rnacentral:lncRNA from 1 species